rnacentral:lncRNA from 1 species
ACCAAAAACAAAAAAGAAAAAGAAAAGAAAGAAAAAAGAAAGCCAGAAUAGUUAUGCUAAUACCAAAGUGUACUUCAGAACAAGGAAUCUUAUGAGGGGAUAAAGAGAUUUCAUAAUGAUAUUGGGCUUCAACAGACAUAAGGCAAGAAGAAAAGGAACAGAAAGAGAAAAUAGACGAUUUUUAAAUUUUUUUUUCAGUUGUUGAUGGACCUUUAUUUUAUUCAUUUAUUUUUCUGUGGUGCUGAGAAUCGAACCCAGUGUCUCAUAUAUGUGAGGCAAGUACUCUACAACUGAGCCACAACCUCAGCCCCAAAAUGGAUGAUUUUUAUUGGAAUCUUCAACAUGCCUCUUUUGUUAAUUGAUAGAAGCAGCAGAGAGAUGAAUACUUGAAUAUAGAGGACUGAAAAAAUGCUAUCGACAACUAGGUAAAUUGAUACAUAUAUACAUAAAUAUAAAACUCCACCCAACAGCAAAAUACACUUUUUUCAAGUACACAUGGGACAUUCAUCAAAAUACAUCAUACUAAGGGUCAUAAAAUGAACAUCAACAAAUUUAAAAGAACCAAAACCAUACAAACUAUCUCUGACCAUAAUUUAAUGAAAUUAGAAAUCAAUAACAGGAAGAUACCUAAAAAAAACCCUUCAAUAUUUGGAAAUUAAACCUGUACCUUCUAAUAAGCCAGUGGUCACAGAGAAAAUCUUGAGGGAAAUAAGAAUUUUUUAUUGAAAGAAAAUAAAACUGCAACAUAUUAAAACAUGUGUGAUCCAGCUGAGCAUUCUGUCCUCAUGAGUAGACCAACACCAUUACUGCAAGACUGGGUUUGUUGUCUCAGGAGUGGGUUUCUGGGCAUGCACCCCCACUUUCUUCUCAUGUGAUGCCUUCCACCAUGCUGUGAGAAAGCAAGAAGGCCCUCACCACACUCAGCCCCUGGACCUUGGACUUCCUGGCCUCCAGAACUGCAAGCCAAAUAAAUUUCUGUUAAUUACCAAUUACCCAGUCUUAUAUUACAGCAACAUAAAAGGGAAAGACACAGAUACAUCUAUAGACAUGUACAUGUAUGCAUUACUAUAUGUACUGACAUACACACAUACCUACCACGUGCAUCCUAUAUUCUUUUGUAUCUAUCUCUCCUAGCCCUGUCCACUCAGAAAGGCUAGAAACAAGGACAUUUCAGUAAAGAGGAGAGUGCCUAAUUCCCAGUAAUGUUGGUUUUUCAAUAUCACUGUCCAAUAAAAAGAACCAGGAAUCCUUGG